rnacentral:rRNA from 1 species
UACCAGCACCCCGAGUGGUCGGGACGUUUAUUGGGCCUAAAGCAUCCGUAGCCGGUUCUACAAGUCUUCCGUUAAAUACCACCGUGCUUAACAGAUGGGCUGCGGAAGAUACUAUAGAGCUAGGAGGCGGGAGAGGCAAGCGGUACUCGAUGGGUAGGGGUAAAAUCCGUUGAUCCAUUGAAGACCACCAGUGGCGAAGGCAGCUUGCCAGAACGCGCUCGACGGUGAGGGAUGAAAGCUGGGGGAGGCAAACCGG